rnacentral:rRNA from 1 species
GUACGGGGGGGGCAAGCGUUGUUCGGAAUUACUGGGCGUAAAGGGCUCGUAGGUGGCCAACUAAGUCGGACGUGAAAUCCCUCAGCUUAACUGGGGAACUGCGUCCGAUACUGGAUGGCUUGAGUUUGGGAGAGGGAUGCGGAAUCCAGGUGGUAGCGGUGAAAUGCGUAGAUAUCUGGAGGAACACCGGUGGCGAAAGGCGGCAUCCUGGACCAACACUGACACUGAGGACG